GAUGAACGCUGGCGGCGUGCCUAAUACAUGCAAGUCGAGCGAACAGACGAGGAGUUUGCUCCUCUGACGUUAGCGGCGGACGGGUGAGUAACACGUGGAUAACCUACCUAUAAGACUGGGAUAACUUCGGGAAACCGGAGCUAAUACCGGAUAAUAUAUUGAACCGCAGGGUUCAAUAGUGAACUACGGUUUUGCUGUCACUUAUAGAUGGAUUCGCGCCGUAUUAGCUAGUUGGUAAGGUAACGGCUUACCAAGGCGACGAUGCGUAGCUGACCUGAGAGGGUGAUCGGCCACACUGGAACUGAGACACGGUCCAGACUCCUACGGGAGGCAGCAGUAGGGAAUUUUGCGCAAUGGGCGAAAGCCUGACGGAGCAACGCCGCGUGAGUGAUGAAGGUCUUCGGAUCGUAAAGCUCUGUUAUUAGGGAAGAACAAAUGUGUAAUUAACUAUGCGCGUCUUGACGGUACCUAAUCAGAAAGCAACGGCUAACUACGUG
rnacentral:rRNA from 1 species